rnacentral:rRNA from 1 species
AUACCCUAUUAUUUUUGAUGUUAAUUUUUUUGACCUGAGUAGUAUUAGUUAUGUUCUUGAAACUUAAAGAAUUUGGCGGUAUUUCAUUCUGUUCAGAGGAAUCUGCCUCGUUAUCGAUAAUCCGCGUUGGACCUUGCUUGAUUUAAUUUGUUUGUAUACCGCCGUUAUAAUGAGUAUCCUUUUAGGGUUUUUUAAUUUUCUUAUUCUAUGAUUUUAGUUUAUUUCAGGUCAAGGUGCAGCUUAUGGUCAAGUGUUUGGUGGAUUACAUUUAUUAAUUUAUUAUCGGAUCACUUGUUGUAAUUCUGGUGUGAAGUUGGAUUUGAUUGUAACUUAAUUAAAGUUUGUUUUGGUGAUUUAUGUUUUGAAAUAUGCACACAUCGCCC